rnacentral:lncRNA from 1 species
UUGAUCUUGGUCUUGCCAGCCAUGUUUGGCCUUGAUGGAAAGGCAGAGCUAAUGGGGCGGUGGUCACCUCUUUAUUUGGUCCCUCGGGAGUAACUGGUGGAAACAAACUUCACGGUAGAACUGCCAGAGGACUUAACGCCACCGCCACCUGAGCUGGAUCCUCCCCGGCCUCCGCCAGAGGAGCCACCGUAGCUGCCUCCGGAGCUGCCACCGCCCCCUCCAGAGCCACCUCUGUGGCUUCCACUGCUGCCGCCUCCGGAGCCGCCGCCGUAGCUGCCGCCUCCGGAGCCGCCGCCGUAGCUGCCACCACUGCCUCCGCCUCCAGAACUGCCGCCGUAGCUGCCGCCUCCAGAGCCGCCGCCAUAACUGCCACCGCCUCCGUAUCUGCCGCCGCCGCUGCCGCCGCCUCGGCUACUGCUUCCGCUCAUGCUGGUGUGGCUGGUGCUCACCGCUGAAGAGAGCCUCCAUUACACCCCAUCCCACUGCGCUCGCUCGUCCCCCACCCAGCCAAGCACCCUGAGAAAUCCUCAUAUACUUACACACGCUCACGUUGGGAGUGCACUCUCCAGACAUCCUGGGGGGGGGGAACAAACCCUCAGUGCCUGCACCCUCGCAGACCCCCCCCCAUUCUUAAGGGGUAUAACCCAGACUUCUCCCCAGCCCACCCAACUUGGUUUUCUCCAGCCUGAGUCUAAGCAGGGAGAGAUCUCCCUAAAUUAGACAAGGCUCUUAGAGCUAUGUGGCUCAGCUAUUAGGUUCUGUCAAGAGAUCCAGGCCAGCCUCAAUAAAUUGCUCCGUUUCACAUGAAGAGCAAUGGGGAGGCAGACAGAGGACAGAACAGAAAAAUAACAGGAGAAGAUGAAAGAAAAGGAAAGAAAUUAGGACUUGAGGCCUCGCUUCCACCCCAUGUUGUAGUGAUCUUCCCAAAGCAAAAAAAAUGACAGUCAGCAAGGAAUCCCUAAGAAGUGACCAGGCUGCCAGGGGACCUUCCUCACCUGAUCUCCUCUCCUUCCAGAAGUUUCUUGUAUGUGGCAAUCUCCAUGUCCAGGGCCAGCUUAGUGUUCAUCAGCUCCUGGAAGUCACGCAGCAAUCUGGCAAGAUCCUCCUUGCAUUGCGACAAUGCAUCCUCUAUCUCAUUCAGCUUGUUCUGGGCAUCUUUGAGUGCUUUCUCACCACGCUGCUCAGCAUCAUUGAUGUUCUGCUGUAUUUGGGAGAUCUGAGAGACAAAGAAUACAGCGCAUUACAAGGGCACACAGACCCUCAAGCCACCCGAUCUUUCCAUUCUGUUAGCCUCACUACCUCAGUGGACCAGUACACUAAAGCACAGAAUCCCUGGGCCUCCGGUCACCUUAGCUACCAUCAUGACUUCCUUAAAGGACUUGAAAGGUUUUAGUUGCUUCUCCUGGGCCUGACCUGAGGCUUUGAAGUUCAACUUCAAAAUUUCUGACUACUUCUCCUCAUCCCUCAGCUCCUAAGGUAAUGGGCUAGGAGUUCACUAUGACCUCCAUCUUCACUAUGUCAUCUUCUCAAAUUUCCCUUACAAGUAUCUCUCAUGAGAGCUGAAUUCUGGAAGCUGACAUAGUCCCCAAAGGGAAUGGAGAAGGUAGUUCAGCCUUGGUAAGGAUUACGUCCCCUCUAAGGCCCCAGGGUCACCCCAUACUGUGUAUCUGAGGGUACCUGCUUCUUGCAACCAUCAAUUUCAGAUCGAAGUCUCUGGAUCAUUCGAUUCAGCUCAGAAAUCUCCAUCUUGGUAUUUCUCACACUGUCUCCAUGUUUGCCAGCAGUGAUCUGCAGCUCUUCGUACUAAAGGUGACAUGUUGUUUCGGUUAGACGUGGAUAGAAACCAGGGUGCUCUGGCACACAAACACACCAGCAAGCACAGGAAACAGAGUCAGAUAUCCCAGAGAACCAGCGAAGUGUGCAGGUACCUUGCUCUGGUAAAAGGUCUCAGCUUCAGCCUUGCUCCUCUGGCAAAUGCUAUCAUACUGGGCCUUGACUUCCGAGAUGAUGCCAUCCAGAUCCAAACUGCGGUUGUUGUCCAUGGACAGGACAACAUUGGUUUCGCUGAUUUGAGUUUGCAUCUGAGACAUUUCCUGCAGGAUGCGAGAUAGUUCAGUAACUCUUACAGAGUUAAAACAACAACAACAACAACCUUGGGUGCUUGGGGGAAUGGGGGACUGGGUGGGGGCUGGAGGUUGGAAGGAAGGUUUCCACUCUGCAAAGCAGUGGGGUCAGGACUCAAGGUAGGUAGCUUGAAAUUCAAGAGUUUACCAUUUGGUAGAGUGCAGAGAAGAAGUCAAUGUCUUGCUGGAGGGCAUCUGCCUUGGCCUGAAGCUCAACUUUGGUCAUGUAAGCUGAAUCCACAUCCUUGAGGAACAAAGGCAUCAUAAAGACAUGUUUUUUUUGAGGAUGGGCCUCCUCUCUCUAGCUAUGAAGGGUUUUUCCAAGUAGAAAUGGAGUUGGGGACCUACUCCUCUUCUGCCCAGUUACACCACAGUUCUUGUUCUCUCUUCAUAUACCCCGAAGAGCUAGCCUGACUUGCUGAGAACUUGCCUCCCUUCUUGCUUUAGGAUGCGUGGAGCAGCCGAGUACUGGGACAAGCAUAGGUCCACGGAAAAAAAAAAAACCUACCCCAGAUGCCCAGCAGGCUUGCUACCUGGUUCUCCACAACAUGGCUUCCUUCUGCCAUGACCUUUAUUUAUUAUUUCAUAAAUGAACUCCACCCCACAGGGCUUGCUCACCUUCUUGAUGGUCACGAACUCAUUCUCUGCGUUGGUCCUCUUGUUGAUUUCAUCCUCGUACCUGCAGGGAAGUGAAGUGAUUGGGUGAUUAAAGCAGACUGAGGCCCAAAACUCAGCAUUCUGGAGUAAAGGACCCCCUGCCUCCCUCUACAAGCAGGAUCAUCUUGAACACCCCUUACUUCUGCGCACUAAAACCAUUCAACUAUAGCUAUGUUCUGAGAAGAUGAAGAAGGUUUGUUUGGUUAUUUUUUAAUGCCCAAUUGAUUUGCCCCUAACUGAGGGAAAGCCAUUGCUACAUGAUAAGUCAUAUCCUUAGCAUAUUAGUUUCCGGAAACCGUUUAGUUCAAUAAACAUGCUGGACUAGGCUUUCUUACUUGGUCCUGUACUCUUCC